rnacentral:misc_RNA from 1 species
UCUCCGUUGGUGAACCAGCGGAGGGAUCAUUACAGGACUCGCAAGACUCCUACAACCCUGAGAUCUUAACUAUCAGCACGUUGCCGCGGCGGGUGUCCCGGAGGGGGUCUGCCCCCCCCGGGACGCUCAACCCGCCGGCAGGCUACUAUACUCUGUCUCUUUGCGUUGGCAUCUCGAGUACUAUCAAACAAGUUAAAACUUUCAGCAACGGAUCUCUUGGUUCUG